rnacentral:piRNA from 1 species
UAUUAACUUCUCUCAAGUCUUGCACG